GGGCCAGUAGCUCAUCUGGUAGAGCGCCGCCUUUGCAAGGCGGAUGUGGCAGGUUCGAGUCCUGUCUGGUCCACUA
rnacentral:tRNA from 2 species